rnacentral:misc_RNA from 1 species
GAUGAAGAACGCAGCGAAAUGCGAUAAGUAAUGUGAAUUGCAGAAUUCAGUGAAUCAUCGAAUCUUUGAACGCACAUUGCGCCCGCCAGUAUUCUGGCGGGCAUGCCUGUUCGAGCGUCAUUACAACCCUCAGGCCCCCGGGCCUGGCGUUGGGGAUCGGCGGAAGCCCCCUGCGGGCACAACGCCGUCCCCCAAAUACAGUGGCAGUCCCGCCGCAGCUUCCAUUGCGUAGUAGCUAACACCUCGCAACUGGAGAGCGGCGCGGCCACGCCGUAAAACACCCAACUUCUGAAUGUUGACCUCGAAUCAGGUAGGAAUACCCGCUGAACUUAAGCAUAUCAAUAAGCGGAGGA